rnacentral:rRNA from 1 species
UACGGGGGGUCCAAGCGUUGUUCGGAAUCACUGGGCGUAAAGCGCAUGUAGGUGGCUUUUCAAGUCAACUGUGAAAGCCCAGGGCCUAACCCUGGAAGUGCAGUUGAUACUGUUGAGCUUGAGUACGAGAGAGGAUAGUGGAAUUCCUGGUGUAGUGGUGAAAUACGUAGAUAUCAGGAGGAACAUCGGUGGCGAAGGCGGCUAUCUGGCUCGAUACUGACACUGAGAUGCGAAAGCGUGGGGAUCAAACAGG